rnacentral:rRNA from 1 species
GACGAACGCUGGCGGCGUGCUUAACACAUGCAAGUCGAACGGAAAGGCCCUGCUUUUGUGGGGUGCUCGAGUGGCGAACGGGUGAGUAACACGUGAGUAACCUGCCCUUGACUUUGGGAUAACUUCAGGAAACUGGGGCUAAUACCGGAUAGGAGCUCCUGCUGCAUGGUGGGGGUUGGAAAGUUUCGGCGGUUGGGGAUGGACUCGCGGCUUAUCAGCUUGUUGGUGGGGUAGUGGCUUACCAAGGCUUUGACGGGUAGCCGGCCUGAGAGGGUGACCGGCCACAUUGGGACUGAGAUACGGCCCAGACUCCUAAGGGAGGCAGCAGGGGGGAAUAUUGCACAAUGGGCGGAAGCCUGAUGCAGCAACGCCGCGUGCGGGAUGACGGCCUUCGGGUUGUAAACCGCUUUCGCCUGUGACGAAGCGUGAGUGACGGUAAUGGGUAAAGAAGCACCGGCUAACUACGUG